rnacentral:rRNA from 1 species
CAGCAGCCACGGUAACACAGAGGGUGCGAGCGUUAAUCGGAUUUACUGGGCGUAAAGCGUGCGUAGGCGGCUUCUUAAGUCGGAUGUGAAAUCCCUGAGCUUAACUUAGGAAUUGCAUUCGAUACUGGGAAGCUAGAGUAUGGGAGAGGAUGGUAGAAUUCCAGGUGUAGCGGUGAAAUGCGUAGAGAUCUGGAGGAAUACCGAUGGCGAAGGCAGCCAUCUGGCCUAAUACUGACGCUGAGGUACGAAAGCAUGGGGAGCAAACAGGAUUAGAUACCCGUGUAGUCCCUGUCUCUUAUAC